CCUACGGGAGGCAGCAGUGGGGAAUAUUGGGCAAUGGAGGAAACUCUGACCCAGCAACGCCGCGUGAAUGAUGAAGGUCUUCGGAUUGUAAAGUUCUUUUCUAAGGGAAGAAGAAAGUGACGGUACCUUAGGAAUAAGCCUCGGCUAACUACGUGCCAGCAGCCGCGGUAAUACGUAGGAGGCGAGCGUUAUCCGUAAUGACUGGGCGUAAAGGGGGCGUAGGUGGUUUGGCAAGUUAGUAGCGUAACUCCAAGGCUCAACCUUGGAACUACUACUAAAACUGUUGGACUUGAGUGCAGGAGGGGCAACCGGAAUUCCUAGUGUAGCGGUGGAAUGCGUAGAUAUUAGGAGGAACACCAGUGGCGAAGGCGGGUUGCUAGACUGUAACUGACACUGAGGCACGAAAGCGUGGGGAGCAAACAAGAUUAGAUACCCCAGUAGUC
rnacentral:rRNA from 1 species